UCCUUGCACAAAUGGACAUUGAGAUGAGACAUCCAGACAAGCGUGGAAAAUGGCACCUUGUCCCUGUCACAGCUGCAGUGAGUAGAGAGCCCUGAGAAAGUCUGCAGUCCUAGGUUAUUCCCCUGAGCAUGAGAGCUCUGCAUCUGAGGCCAACCAAACCACAGUGUUGUUUAGAAUCAGAAAAAUCAGAUUACUUUGGGAAGUCAUUGCUGGCAAAUCAAUUUGUGAAGCUGUUUUGGACAUUAUCCAGAUGUUAAUAAAUGGGUGAUCUUUCCCAUCAAGAUAUUGUGUUUUACAAAUUCAAGAUUUGUGGCAACCCUUACAUACAGCGAGUCGACCAGGCCCAGUUUUCCUACAGCAUUUGUUCACCUUCUGUUUCUUGUCACAUUUUG